rnacentral:snRNA from 1 species
GUGCUCACUUCUGAAGCACAUAUACUAAAAUUGGAGCAAUAUAGAGAAGAUUAGCAUGGCCACUGUGCAA